GUAAGCAGAAAUAAUUAUUCCUUAGUAUGUCCGUUGGUAUUAGCUCUGGCGGCAAAAAAAAGUAUCUUCUUUAACAACGGCAAAGGCUGUUGACAAAUCGUCACUCCGAUCCGAUCACACGAGUAUUUUUACGGCUAAACUACGGAUCCGCUGCUAUGUAAACCGCCAUUUUUAAUAUAGCCAUGAUCCCACUGAUAGAGCAUUGUGCAGGGGCGCUCACUGCUAGCUGGUUAGCUCUCCUUCAGACACACAGGCACACACGCAUAUAACCGACUCGUGUUUACCGUGUGGGGGUAUGCGCCUCUCUGUUCAAGCUAAAGUCAAAGCGGGAUCCCCACUGAAUGGCUUCUCCCUUUUCCCCGGGAACAACGAUACAAUGAACCGAUUGUUAUAAGAAACUGAAAAGCAAGCCAAGGAUGAGAAUGGUGGAGCCAUUGAACCGAAGCCAUUUCUGAUAACGUCACUGGAACAUGCUGUUAAGUGGGUAUUGCCAAACUAAUUCUCUGUAAGUAUGUUUCAAAAUUCUUGUUGUGGAUACUUAUACAGUUAUUGACUUUGAGAAUCUGGAAGUGUCAUUUGAUUUUAGAUGUUCGAAAUAAUAUUUGG
ensembl:lncRNA